GGAGGAUCCGAGCGUUAUCCGGAUUUAUUGGGUUAAAGGGAGCGUAGGCGGACGCUUAAGUCAGUUGUGAAAGUUUGCGGCUCAACCGUAAAAUUGCAGUUGAUACUGGGUGUCUUGAGUACAGUAGAGGCAGGCGGAAUUCGUGGUGUAGCGGUGAAAUGCUUAGAUAUCGCGAAGAACUCCGAUUGCGAAGGCAGCCUGCUGGACUGUAACUGACGCUGAUGCUCGAAAGUGUGGGUAUCAAACAGGAUUAGAUACCCUGGUAGUCCACACAGUAAACGAUGAAUACUCGCUGUUUGCGAUAUACAGUAAGCGGCCGAGCGAAAGCGUUAAGUAUUCCACCUGGGGAGUACGGUCACAAGGCUG
rnacentral:rRNA from 1 species